GACGAACGCUGGCGGCGUGCUUAACACAUGCAAGUCGAACGGAAAGGCCCUGCUUGCAGGGUGCUCGAGUGGCGAACGGGUGAGUAACACGUGGGUGAUCUGCCCCUUACUUUGGGAUAAGCCUGGGAAACUGGGUCUAAUACUGGAUAGGACCAUGCUGUAGGUGGUGUGGUGGAAAGAUUAGUUUCGGUAAGGGAUGAGCUCGCGGCCUAUCAGCUUGUUGGUGGGGUAAUGGCCUACCAAGGCGUCGACGGGUAGCCGGCCUGAGAGGGUGGACGGCCACAUUGGGACUGAGAUACGGCCCAGACUCCGACGGGAGGCAGCAGUGGGGAAUAUUGCACAAUGGGCGCAAGCCUGAUGCAGCGACGCCGCGUGGGGGAUGACGGCCUUCGGGUUGUAAACUCCUUUCGGCCAUGACGAAGCCCUUGUGGUGACGGUAGUGGUAGAAGAAGCACCGGCUAACUACGUG
rnacentral:rRNA from 1 species